GCCCUGGAGGACUAGUGGUUAGGCCACAGCGCUCUCACCACUGCUGUUGUCCAGGUUCGAUUCCCGGCGAGGGAA
rnacentral:tRNA from 1 species